rnacentral:rRNA from 1 species
GACGAACGCUGGCGGCGUGCUUAACACAUGCAAGUGGAACGGAAAGGCCUCUUUCGGGGGGUACUCGAGUGGCGAACGGGUGAGUAACACGUGAGUAACCUGCCCUUGACUUUGGGAUAACUUCAGGAAACUGGGGCUAAUACCGGAUAGGAGCUCCUGCUGCAUGGUGGGGGUUGGAAAGUUUCGGCGGUUGGGGAUGGACUCGCGGCUUAUCAGCUUGUUGGUGGGGUAGUGGCUUACCAAGGCUUUGACGGGUAGCCGGCCUGAGAGGGUGACCGGCCACAUUGGGACUGAGAUACGGCCCAGACUCCUACGGGAGGCAGCAGUGGGGAAUAUUGCACAAUGGGUGGAAGCCUGAUGCAGCAACGCCGUGUGCGGGAUGACGGCCUUCGGGUUGUAAACCGCUUUCGCUCAUGACGAAGCUUUGUGUGACGGUAGUGGGUAAAGAAGCACCGGCUAACUACGUG